rnacentral:rRNA from 1 species
UACGUAGGGGGCAAGCGUUGUCCGGAUUUAUUGGGCGUAAAGAGCGUGUAGGCGGCCUGAAAGGUCAGCUGUGAAAACUCGGGGCUCAACCCCGAGACGUCGGUUGAAACCAUCUGGCUAGAGUCCGGAAGAGGAGUGUGGAAUUCCCGGUGUAGCGGUGAAAUGCGCAGAUAUCGGGAAGAACACCCGUGGCGAAGGCGGCUAUCUGGACGACAACUGACGCUGAGGCGCGAAAGCGUGGGGAUCAAACAGG